rnacentral:pre_miRNA from 1 species
GGAAUAUAAGAACCCGUCUCUUAACUUUUAACUAAAAAAACUAAGAACCGGUUCUUAACAUUUUUAGUUAAAAAUUAAGAGACGGGUUCUUAUAUUCC